rnacentral:rRNA from 1 species
GACGAACGCUGGCGGCGUGCCUAAUACAUGCAAGUCGAACGGUCUUUUCUAUGGAAGCUUGCUUCCACUGAGAAGAUAGUGGCGAACGGGUGAGUAACACGUGGGUAACCUGCCCAUAAGAGGGGGAUAACAUCCGGAAACGGGUGCUAAUACCGCAUAGUUUUCUUGAUCGCAUGAUUGAGAAAGGAAAGACGGCCUUUGUGCUGUCGCUUAUGGAUGGACCCGCGGCGUAUUAGUUAGUUGGUGAGGUAACGGCUCACCAAGACGAUGAUACGUAGCAGACCUGAGAGGGUGAUCGGCCACAUUGGGACUGAGACACGGCCCAAACUCCUACGGGAGGCAGCAGUAGGGAAUCUUCCGCAAUGGACGAAAGUCUGACGGAGCAACGCCGCGUGAGUGAAGAAGGUUUUCGGAUCGUAAAGCUCUGUUGUCAGAGAAGAACAACUUGGAGAGUAACUGCUCCAGCCUUGACGGUAUCUGACCAGAAAGCCACGGCUAACUACGUGCCAGCCGCCGCCGUAACAC